rnacentral:rRNA from 1 species
AUACCCAAUGAUAUCUCUAGAAGACAUCUGAAAGAGAUUAAAGAUUUAUCGGUGAUGGAUGGGGAUGCGUCUGAUUAGCUUGUUGGCGGGGUAACGGCCCACCAAGGCAACGAUCAGUAGGGGUUCUGAGAGGAAGGUCCCCCACAUUGGAACUGAGACACGGUCCAAACUCCUACGGGAGGCAGCAGUGAGGAAUAUUGGUCAAUGGACGAGAGUCUGAACCAGCCAAGUAGCGUGCAGGAUGACGGCCCUAUGGGUUGUAAACUGCUUUUAUAAGGGAAUAAAGUGAGUCUCGUGAGACUUUUUGCAUGUACCUUAUGAAUAAGGACCGGCUAAUUCCGUGCCAGCAGCCGCGGUAAUACGGAAGGUCCGGGCGUUAUCCGGAUUUAUUGGGUUUAAAGGGAGCGUAGGCCGGAGAUUAAGCGUGUUGUGAAAUGUAGACGCUCAACGUCUGCACUGCAGCGCGAACUGGUUUCCUUGAGUACGCACAAAGUGGGCGGAAUUCGUGGUGUAGCGGUGAAAUGCUUAGAUAUCACGAAGAACUCCGAUUGCGAAGGCAGCUCACUGGAGCGCAACUGACGCUGAAGCUCGAAAGUGCGGGUAUCGAACAGGAUUAGAUACCCU